UGCAGAAUCCCGUGAACCAUCGAGUCUUUGAACGCAAGUUGCGCCCCAAGCCAUCAGGCCGAGGGCACGUCUGCCUGGGUGUCA
rnacentral:rRNA from 1 species